rnacentral:misc_RNA from 1 species
GAUGAAGAACGCAGCGAAAUGCGAUAAGUAAUGUGAAUUGCAGAAUUCAGUGAAUCAUCGAAUCUUUGAACGCACAUUGCGCCCGCCAGCAUUCUGGCGGGCAUGCCUGUUCGAGCGUCAUUUCAACCCUCGAGCCCCCCCGGGGGCCUCGGUGUUGGGGGACGGCACACCAGCCGCCCCCGAAAUGCAGUGGCGACCCCGCCGCAGCCUCCCCUGCGUAGUAGCACACACCUCGCACCGGAGCGCGGAGGCGGUCACGCCGUUAAACACCCCACUUCUGAAAGUUGACCUCGGAUCAGGUAGGAAUACCCGCUGAACUUAAGCAUAUCAAUAAGCGGAGGA